CAGCAGCCGCGGUAAUACCGGCGGCCCGAGUGGCGGUCACUAUUAUUGGGCUUAAAGCGUCCGUAGCCGGGUUGGGAAGUCCUCCGGGAAAUCUGGCCGCUUAACGGUCAGAAUGCCGGAGGAUACUCCCAGCCUAGGGGGCGGGAGAGGCCGAGGGGAUUCCCGGAGUAGGGGGGAAAUCCUAUAAUCCCGGGAGGACCACCUGUGGCGAAGGCGCUCGGCUGGAACGCGUCCGACGGUGAGGGACGAAGGCCAGGGGAGCAAACCGGAUUAGAUACCCGGGUAGUCCUGGCUGUAAACGAUGCGGACUUUGUGUCGGACAAGCUAUGAGCUUGUCCGGUGCCGGAGGGAAACCGUUAAGUCCGCCGCCUGGGGAGUACGGCCGCAAGGCUGAAACUUAAAGGAAUUGGCGGG
rnacentral:rRNA from 1 species